AUAUCUGUGGUGGCUGAGUUGAGCCCAAAGAGGGGUGGUUAUAUGUGAAAUUGCACUCCGGGUGUGCUGACCCCUGCGAUUUCCCCAAAUGCGGGAAACUCGACUGCAUAAUUUGUGAAAGUGAAGGGUAUCAGUAACUGUGAUGACUGAGUCCUCCA